UUAAAAAAAUUCGAAAAAAAAUCUAAAACAGUCAAGUCCUUGUGUCCUAGAGUCAAAAUUACGUUGUACGUUGAGUGGAUUUUCAUGGAAGGAACCUAAGGGUUUCUAUUUUAAAAUUUGGCUGCUGUAUUAAAGUAUAAACAGUUUUCAUAUAAGGUUUUAGUAAGGAUUACUUAAAAUAGCUUAAGAAAAACGCGUUAAGAAAAACAAAACUAACUAGAAAAUCAAUUAAAUUCUUAGAAACACAAUGAGCAGAGUCGAAUACAAGUUUUUCUAGUUAACUUUACUGCUGAUUUUACACGAUUGUUGGGAGAAUAAAUAAACUAUUUUAUUGAAAUUUUAUAUUUUAUAAGAAUAUAAAAUUUAAAUACAGAAGAGGAAAGAGGAAAAUGUAUGAAAUAAAUUCAUAGUGCAUGAUGAGGCGGAAUCAUGUUGAUAAUAAGAUAUCUAAAAGUAAACCUGUAAACCUCACCAGUUUUACAUUGUAAUUUAUAGAAAAUCAGAGAAUUAUAAAAUCAGAAAAUCACUAAUUUAAACUAAGAAACUAAUGGAAUAAUUGUUAACAAGAGACCCCAGCUAUUUUGGUACUUUUUGGUAAAAGCAAAAAAAACCGAAAACCGGAAAUAGACAACCGAAAAAUAUUGCAAACAUACACUGGGAAAUAUUAUUGUGUUUAUGAAACUUUACUUAACUCUAUUUAACUCUAAUCUAUUGGAUAAAUGGAUGGUGUCCCUCUAUUAGUUUCAUUUCACUAUACAAAUAUAAAAGAAAUUUAUUAUAACAAUAUGGAUGCAGUCGUAGUUUUUACUAUACGGCAAAGUAAGUUCUGGAAAAAUUAAUUGGAUGCUACAAAUACUGAAAAGACAACGGUCCGCCAAAUUUCUGUAUUUAAUACAUAAAUUAUUGGUAUAAUGUGUUUCAAGAGUAUUUGGGAUUUUCACUAAGUGUUGUGUGAGAUUUAUAUAAAAUGUUAAAUGUAAAUGUUAAAUAAGAUUCACAAGUAAAUCUUAAUGAACGAAACGGAAGAAUUGAAUCCUAAAACCCAAAGAAAUCGUACAAUCCUCUAAUAAUGGAUUAAUAUUACUAACUAGUACAACUGAAAAUUUUAAUAUGUAAUAAAAUAUAGUUCAUAAGUACUUUCGCAAUUCACAACGGAAAGGAUUUAUAUACCAUUUAGUUUUCAAUUUGAAAUAAUCAAACACAAUCUGUUUGGGUACUGUUCCAAUUAAUAAAUUUAUAUUUGUUAUAUAAGUAAUUGUUGCUUUUAACUUUUUUGAAUAACACGUAAUUCAAUCAACCAUAAUGGAUCAAUUUUGGGUGUGUGAACCAUAAAAUUGUACUUCCUCUGAAUGUGGAACUAUGAUAUGUGGAUGUGUAUCUGAUAUGAAUGGUGUUGUCCUUGUUCAAUAAGAACCCUGAUAAUAAUACAUGAAAUAAAUAGGUCUGUUUGUAGACCUUCCAAGUGACGAUGAGAAAUGCCAAAGAUCGGACCAAAUCCAUAUGAAUGUUUUGGAACGAAUCUGAACUGAUAUAAAGCUGUGCUUGUAUGAUGAGGCACAUACUUUCUAGCAAUAGAUUUGCUGAACUAGCUCAAUCUAUAGAGGAAGCUAAUUAGGCUUCUAUCAAAAAGUUUUAAUUCCCUUCAAUAUAUUCUCGAGAACACAAUUCAACUCCUUUAGCCAGAGGGGCAAUAUAUACGAAACCUAGAUCCAAAUUGACACCAAAAUAAACAUAAAAAAUGUUUAAAUAUA